rnacentral:pre_miRNA from 1 species
GAUGUACUCCCUCCAUCCCAAAAUUCGUGUCUUAGAUUUGUCUAGAUAUAAAUGUAUCUAGUCACGUUUUAGUAUGUAGAUAUAUUCAUUUCUAAAUAAAUCUAAGACAAGAAUUUUGGGGCGGAGGGAGUAUAAG